rnacentral:rRNA from 1 species
UACGUAGGGUGCAAGCGUUACUCGGAAUCACUGGGCGUAAAGCGUGCGUAGGCGGAAGCUUAAGUGUGAUGUUAAAUCGUGGGGCUCAACCCCGUCGAUGCAUCGCAUACUGGGCUUCUAGAGGACGGCAGAGGCAAGUGGAACUCGUAGUGUAGCAGUGAAAUGCGUAGAUAUUACGAAGAACACCAAUGGCGAAGGCAGCUUGCUGGGCCGCCCCUGACGCUGAGGCACGAAAGCGUGGGGAGCGAACAGG